rnacentral:lncRNA from 1 species
GCGGCAGGAGCGGCGGUUCUCAACCAAUUGCUUGAGCGGUUCGGAUUCUUCGAAGCAACGGCAUAAAGGAAUUUGGUUAGAGUUUCUAUACUUCUCUAAUUUGGUCUUCUCGGUUUUACGAAAAGCUUUUUUCGGUAUUUUCUUGGAGUUUUCGUUGGAACAAGAAAGGUGGGAUUCACCAUAAGGUUCUUGGUUUUUUAUCCGGAGAAGACAUACGGUGUAAGCUUGUACUUUUAUUUCUUCAUAUAGUGGAAUACAUCUCUCUCGCUCUCCCCGUGGACGUAGGCGAUUGCCGAACCACGUAAAUCUUGGUUUCUUCUUUCUGCAUUUAUUUCUUUUACCGUUCGGUCGAUUUUCUCUAUUUUUCGUGCAUCUUUGUUGGUAGCACAUGACGGACGAUCCAUCCGGUUCCCAACAAGUGGUAUCAGAGCGUAAGGUUCGUGCUACAUCAGAGAUGUCGAAAGUCUCGUCUUCUAAGUUUGAGGUGGAGAAAUUUGACGGUAAAGGAAACUUCGGUCUCUGGCAGAGAAGAGUGAAAGCCCUUCUGGUUCAACAGGGCCUUCAUAAGGCGUUGCUCGGAAAAUCGAAAAAGCCGACAUCGAUGAGCGACGAAGAUUGGGAGGAUAUUGAUCUGCGAGCGGUGAAUACAAUUAUAUUGUGUCUAGCAGAUGAGGUGAUGUAUAACGUAAUGGAUGAAGAAACUACAGUCGGCAUGUGGAACAAACUAGAGAAGCUGUACAUGACCAAAAGCCUCUCGAACGUGCUGUACCUAAAGCAAAAAUUAUAUGGGCUACGCAUGAAGGAAGGUACGGCAAUAACGGAACACUUGAACACCUUUAAUAAAAUUAUUGCGGAUUUGCUCAGCAUUAAUGUUAAGGUUGACGAGGACGAUAAGGCGUUGAUUUUUCUUACAUCACUUCCGCCGUCCUACAAUCACUUGGUGACCACCAUACUGUACGGGAAGCAAACUCUAAAGAUGGAAGAUGUUACAUCGACACUUUUAUCUGAAGAGAUCAGAUUGCAGGCGAGUACCGAAGAAAGUAGUGCAGGUUUGGUCGUAAAUGAUACAAGUGGAGGAAGGGGACAAUCAAGAGAACGUGAUGCAGAUAAAGGAAGAUCCCGUUCCAAGUCAAAAUCGAAAAAGGUAAAGUGUUACUUCUGUAAGAAAGAGGACCACAUGAAAAAGAACUGCGAAAAGAGGAAGGCUUGGCUGCGAAAUCAGAAUUCCUCUGCAGAUACGGCGAGCGUAGCUAGUGAUUCCGGUCAGGACGUCUUGACGGUUACAACAGAUUCUGACUCUCACGGUGACUGGAUAUUAGAUUCUGGUUGUUCUUAUCACAUGUCUCCAAACAGGUCUUUAUUUGAUACUUAUAAGUCUUGUGAAGGCAGUAGUGUUAUGAUGGGUAAUCGCACUAGCUGCAAGAUGGUCGGUAUCGGAACAGUAAAAAUAAAGAUGUUUGAUGGUGUGGUGAGGACGUUAACGGAUGUGAGACACAUUCCGGAUCUCAGGUUAAAUCUUAUAUCACUUGGUACUCUUGACUCUACUGGCUGUUCUAUUAGUAUUUCAGGUGGAGUCGUCAAGGUUAAAAAGGGUGCCAUGGUCGUCAUGAAGGGAGAGAAGAAAGGGAAUAUGUAUAGGCUGAUCGGCGAGUCGGUGAUUGGAGGCGUUGCGGUAAUAUCCUCAGAAGAUCAUGAUGCUGAUGAUACGGAGCUCUGGCACAUGAGACUAGCCCACAUGAGUGAAAGAGGGAUGUUGGAACUGCAUAAAAGGGGAGUACUCAAAGGUAUUAAAUCCUGUAAACUUAAUUUCUGCAAAUAUUGUUUAUUUGGAAAACAGAAAAGGUUGAGUUUCAGGACCUCCAGUCAUAAAAGUAAAAGUAUACUUGAGUAUAUCCAUGCGGACGUGUGGGGACCGGCUCCGGUGACUUCGAAAGGUGGUGCGCGAUAUUUUAUUACAUUUAUCGAUGAUUUCUCCCGUAAGGUUUGGGUAUUCUUCAUGAAGGAAAAGUCUGAGGCAUUUAUAAAGUUCAGACAUUGGAAGAAUGAGGUGGAGAAACAAACUGGGAAGCAGGUCAAGGUUCUUCGAACGGACAAUGGUGGAGAGUUCACUUCUCGGGAGUUUAAGAAAUUCUGCAAGGAUGAAGGUAUUGUACGUCAUUACACGGUUCCAGGUACUGCACAGCAGAAUGGGGUAGCAGAAAGGAUGAACCGGACAUUGCUAGAACGUGCCAGAUCCAUGAGGUUAUGUGCAGAUUUGCCAAAGGAGUUCUGGGCUGAAGCAGUAGAUAUGGCGUGCUAUAUUAUUAAUCGAUCUCCCGCCACAGCAAUCGAACUCAAAACACCGGAGGAAGUUGCAUGGACAGGAGUAAACUUGCAGAUUAUUUCCUCUUACGGGUCUUUGGGUUGUCCUGCCGUUCAUGUCAUAUCCAGGAAUCAGCGCACAAAGUUAGAAUUUCGAAGUGUCAAAGCCUGACAUAUUUCUUGGUACGAUAUGGGUGAUUAAAGCAGAUACAAGCUGUGGGACCUAUCGCAAGAAGAGGUGUAUUGCAGGACGUAGUUUUUGACGAAUAAGCGUAUGCCGCGUAAGAAUCAUCAGAGAGGGCUCAUGUGUAAGAACAGUCAAAAACUAGCCAGAUCUAGGUGGAGCAGGCAAGAGGGUGUAGAAUGAAUCAGGUGGAGCAGCGCCACUAUCAUGGAUGAUCAUUGGUACACAAAACGAUCGCUGAUUGAAGCACUUCGGACAAGAGCCCUAUCUAUCGCGUAAAGAAAGGGAAAGGAGCAGCAUUCGUCACCUUUACGGUACAGGUUGGAGGAUAUAUUCGUUAUGCCUUUUAAUUACAUCAGUAUGGAUACCCACUUCCUAUCAGAGGGCGAGCCGGAAGAGAAUGGCAGUGCAUGGAUGCGGCUAUGACGAGAGAAUGAGCCAGUCUCUACAGAGAAUCAGAUAUGGAUUUGAUUCAAUUACGGAAGGAAGAGAUCUAUCGCGUGCAAUUGGAUCUAGCACAAAGAAGCAGGCGUGGCAGAUGGGAAUGAAACCAGGAAAAAUUCAAGGCGCGGUUAGUAGCCAAGGACUAUGCUGUAGUAAAAGGAGUUGAUUUCAAUGAGAUUUUCUCACCGGUGGUGAAACACGCGUUUAUUAGGAUAUGCUUCUGCCUUAUGGUGGCUAUUUUGAUUUAGAGUUCAGCAGCUCGACGUUCGAACCGCAUUUCUUCCACGGGGAUCGUAGAAUGAAUUAUAUGGAACAACCCAGAUAUUACUCAGCGCGGGGGAAGGAGAAUUGUGUGUGACAACUGAGCAGAUCUCUCUACGGGUUGAAGCAGGCACGAGGCAGUGGUAUAAGCGGUUGAUGGAAGUUUAUGAUAGAGCAUGGUUUAUAUAGCAGAAGUUUAUAUGAACUAGAUGUGUGUUACUAUCGCAGGCUUGAAGAUGGUUCGUUUAUUCUGCUUUAUGCUAUCAUGUAGACGGAUAUGCUUCUAGCCAGCUAAGAACUCGAAAUGAAGUGCAACAAUUAAAGGAUCAGGUUUGAGCGAGAAUUUGAUAUGAAGACCUAGGAGUGCUAGCGAAUAUCCUAUUGGAGAUCAGACGCACGCCCGUACGGGUAAAUUAUUUUAUCGCAGAGACAUAUAUCGAAGCUAUUAUAAAGAAUUAAUUGUCAGAGAGCGAGCCAGGUCAGUCCAUGUAGCCAACACUUCAAACUUUUCUGAGGAGAUGAUGUCCAAGACGGAUAUGAGGAAUUACUUCUAUCGUCAAGCACCAUAUGCUAGUGCCAGUCGGUUGCCUAGCUAUGUAUGAUCUGUAUUAGGCCUAUCUUCACAUGCCAUGUUAGUGUUGUCAGUCGGUAUAUUGUCGAAUCAGAGAAAACAACACUGCGCAGGCGUGAAGUUGAGAUUUGCGCUAGUUCUGAGGCACAUCAGAUAAGGUAUUCUACUACUCGAAAGAUCUACGGUAAUGAUGAGUGAAGGGGUUUGUACGAUUCCGAUCUAUGCGGGUGUUAUGGACAAGCGUAUGGUCCAUUAAUUACGCUUUUCUGACAGCGGCGGACUAAUCAGUUGGAAAUCUACGAUUGCAGGCAUCUGAGCUAUCAUACAGAAACGGGCAGUUAUGCGCAUUGAAGCAGGUAAGAGCAGUCUGGCGCUUAGAGGCUUGGUGUAAUGCCGGAUCUGCAGGAAAAAUGAUUAUCGGUUUGUAGAAUGUCAAGUGUAAUAAUGUCUCGCCAGGAAUCAGUUUACCAUGGGAGACAAAGCAAUAGAAAUCAACGUUUCACAAAUUACGGUGGAGUCACUAAAUGGAGGAUGUGGAAAUUCGCUAUAAAGGUUUCCACAAAAGAUAAUGAUUAGCUGAAUCUGAUCAAAGACGUAACAGCGGAUAGUUUAGCACGUGUCUAUAAACUUGGCUAAUUUGCAUGACUUGCCUAAUAUGUCUGAUGCCUACAGGAGAUAGGGGGCGAUAAGAAUGAGAGGAGUAAUGAAGCUACAAAAAGAAGGUCAGGUGCUGAGAAUGCUUAAAAAAUAUGCCUUCUUUUGAAUCUGGGUUGAGUCAAAUUAAUUUAACCAUUAAGUUGGUUCAUAAAAUAUAUCAAUUGGUUUUGAAAUUGAUUCUCAUUGGCAGAAGAUACGUGCUAUAUCUGUAUAGAUUGAAACUAUAUCUUUACUCGGAAGGAUAAGAUAUAUUAGGAUCGCACGUUAUUAGAAGCAUAGUCGGUUUAUGCUUCUCAAAGCCGAGUCCAAUGAUUGCGGUUGAAUUCUUGACCGGGCUAUAAUGCUUAUAUAUAUGCAUGCGUUGUGAACCGUAUUUGUGUGGCCAAAAUUAAUUAGUCUUGAGGCAUACGACAAGCAAGAAAAGGGAGGCUAAUUAAUUAAGUUGUUGAAGCCUACGGAAGUGCUUCAAUAGGUGUGCGGCUUCCGCAUGCAUGCAACGUCGGAUUGUUGUUGGCGGCGGAGCGGCGGUUCUCAACCAAUUGCCUGAGCGGUUCGGAUUCUUCGAGCAACGGGCAUAAAGGAAUUUGGUUAGAGUUUCUAUACUUCUCUAAUUUGGUCUUCUCGGUUUUACGAAAAGCUUUUUCGGUAUUUUUCUUGGAGUUUCGUUGGAACAAGAAAUGUGGAUUACCAUAACGGUUUUGUGUUUUUAUCGGAGAGACAUAAGGUAUAAGCUUGUACUU